rnacentral:rRNA from 1 species
AAGUCGUAACAAGGUCUCCGUUGGUGAACCAGCGGAGGGAUCAUUACUGAGUACUACACUCUCUACCCUUUGUGAACUAUUAUACCUGUUGCUUCGGCGGCGCCCGCAAGGGUGCCCGCCGGUCUCAUCAGAAUCUCUGUUUUCGAACCCGACGAUACUUCUGAGUGUUCUUAGCGAGCUGUCAAAACUUUUAACAACGGAUCUCUUGGCUCCAGCAUCGAUGAAGAACGCAGCGAAACGCGAUAUGUAAUGUGAAUUGCAGAAUUCAGUGAAUCAUCGAAUCUUUGAACGCACAUGGCGCCUUCCAGUAUCCUGGGAGGCAUGCCUGUCCGAGCGUCGUUUCAACCCUCGAGCCCCUGUGGCCCGGCGUUGGGGAUCUGCCACGGCAGGCCCCUAAAACCAGUGGCGGACCCGAAGGGCCCUCUCCUUUGCGCAGUAGCAUUCGCCUCGCAUCGGGAGUCCUCGGCGUCCUGCCUCUAAACCCCCCACAAGCCCGCUUCGGCGGCACCAAGGUUGACCUCGGAUCAGGUAGGAAUACCCGCUGAACUUAA